UACGUAGGGGGCAAGCGUUGUCCGGAUUUAUUGGGCGUAAAGAGCGUGUAGGCGGUUCGGUAGGUCCGUUGUGAAAACUCGAGGCUCAACCUCGAGACGCCGAUGGAAACCCCCGAACUAGAGUCCGGAAGAGGAGAGUGGAAUUCCCGGUGUAGCGGUGAAAUGCGCAGAUAUCGGGAAGAACACCCGUGGCGAAGGCGGCUCUCUAGUACGGUACUGACGCUGAGACGCGAAAGCGUGGGGAGCGAACAGG
rnacentral:rRNA from 1 species